CUGAACUUGAGUGGGAUUUCAUCUCUAGUUUGUGAGAAGGAAAUGAUAGAAGGUAACCUUCAAAAAGGCAAGAAGACGGCAUUCGCUAGAUUGGACUCUGCAGUUAGACAUUAAUACUCGAUCAUCCAGGAAGACAAUGACCUCUAGCAUCAAAAGCUCUGAGCGGUACCAAGAUUGAGAGAGUUAGCUAUUCAAAGCAAUUUGGGCAGUUCAUCUAUUUCUACAGAAGGUUGAAUUAACAGGAAGUAUGUGGGAUUUCAUUCUAAACAGUAGACAGAAGGUGGAAUUGAUGGAGAUAAACAGAGGACAGAAAGAAAGAAAUAAGUAUAGGCCAUACAGAGAGACUGGAAGAUCUAAUCCAUACAGGGUGUUCCAUAAAAGGGAUGACUUGGCAAUUUUUUGAUGAAUUAACACUACUUUUGC
rnacentral:misc_RNA from 1 species